CGGACGGGUGAGUAAUGCCUAGGAAUCUGCCUGGUAGUGGGGGACAACGUUUCGAAAGGAACGCUAAUACCGCAUACGUCCUACGGGAGAAAGCAGGGACCUUCGGGCCUUGCGCUAUCAGAUGAGCCUAGGUCGGAUUAGCUAGUUGGUGAGGUAAAUGGCUCACCAAGGCGACGAUCCGUAACUGGUCUGAGAGGAUGAUCAGUCACACUGGAACUGAGACACGGUCCAGACUCCUACGGGAGGCAGCAGAU
rnacentral:rRNA from 1 species